CUCAUUUUUGUCUCAUAAACUUAAAAAGUUAUUUGUAAAACAUAAACAUUUAUUUGCACACAUCAGGAAUCUUUUGUUGCGAUUUUGGGCCCUGCCCACGACGUCAUGUGAGAAUC